UUUUUUAGAAAAGACUGGCCAGGAAGGCGAGGUGGUGGAGUUGCUCUUACAAGAGCGAGCAAGUGGCAUGUGUGGAGCUCUGCCUAGGGGUGGAUGUAGAGAGAGAGUUGAGAGCUUAUGGGUAAGGAUUAAAGGGCAGGCUACCAUGGCUGACACUAUUGUGGGUGUUUGCUACAGGCCACUUGAUCAGGAAGAGGAGGUAGAUGAAGCCUUCUUCAGACAGCUCAAAGUAGCCUCCCAGUCACAAGCCCUGGUUCUCAUGGGGAACUUCAACCACCCUGAUAUCUGCUGGGCAGACCACACAGCUAGGCACCAAAUGUCCAGGAGGUUCCUGCAGUGCAUUGAUGACAACUUUUUGACACAGGUGGUGGAGAAGCCAACUAGGAAAGGUGUGCUGCUAGACCUUGUAUUAACAAAUGAGGAAGGACUAGUUGGAGAUGUGAGGGUCAGGGGCAGCCUUGGCUGCAGUGACCAUGUUAUGGUGGAGUUCGGUAUCUUGAGAGGAGGAAGCAGGGCAAAAAGUAGGAUUGCGACCCUAGACUUCAGGAGAACAAGCUUUGGCCUCUUCAGGGAUCUACUUGGAAGAAACACAUGGGUUAGGGCCCUGGAAGAAAGGGGGAUCCAAGUCAGCUGGUCAAUAUUCAAGUAUCACUUCCUCCAAGCUCAAGAUCGGUGCAUCCAUAUGAGUAAGAAGACAAGCAAAGGGUGCAGGAGACUUGCAUGGCUGAGCAGGAAGAUCCUGGCAAAGCUCAGACAGAAGAAGAAAGUUUACAGCAUGUGGAAAAAUGGACAGGCCACUUGGGAGGAAUAUAGGAACACUGUCAGAGUAUGCAGGGAUGCGACAAGGAAGGUCAAGGCCCAUUUGGAAUUGUAUCUGGCAAGGAAUGUCAAUGGCAACAAGAAGGGCUUCUUCAAAUACAUCAGUAGAAAAAGGAAGACUGGGGAAAAUGUCAACCCACUGCUGGAUGGGGCGGGUGCCCUGGUGACAAAGGAUACAGACAAGGCAGAAUGCCUGAAUGCCUUUUUUGCUUC
rnacentral:lncRNA from 1 species